CCUACGGGAGGCAGCAGUUAGGAAUCUUGGACAAUGGGCGAAAGCCUGAUCCAGCCAUGCCGCGUGAGUGAUGAAGGCCCUAGGGUUGUAAAGCUCUUUCGACGGGGAAGCGGUACCCGUAGAAGAAGCCCCGGCUAACUUCGUGCCAGCAGCCGCGGUAAUACGAAGGGGGCUAGCGUUGCUCGGAAUCACUGGGCGUAAAGCGCACGUAGGCGGAUCUUUAAGUCGGGGGUGAAAUCCCGGAGCUCAACUCCGGAACUGCCUUCGAUACUGAGGAUCUCGAGUCCGGGAGAGGUGAGUGGAACUGCGAGUGUAGAGGUGAAAUUCGUAGAUAUUCGCAAGAACACCAGUGGCGAAGGCGGCUCACUGGCCCGGACUGACGCUGAGGUGCGAAAGCGUGGGGAGCAAACAGGAUUAGAUACCCUUGUAGUC
rnacentral:rRNA from 1 species